rnacentral:rRNA from 1 species
GAUGAACGCUGGCGGCGUGCCUAAUACAUGCAAGUCGAGCGAACAGACGAGGAGCUUGCUCCUCUGACGUUAGCGGCGGACGGGUGAGUAACACGUGGAUAACCUACCUAUAAGACUGGGAUAACUUCGAGAAACCGGAGCUAAUACCGGAUAAUAUAUUCAACCGCAUGGUUCAAUAGUGAAAGACGGUUUUGCUGUCACUUAUAGAUGGAUCCGCGCCGCAUUAGCUAGUUGGUAAGGUAACGGCUUACCAAGGCAACGAUGCGUAGCCGACCUGAGAGGGUGAUCGGCCACACUGGAACUGAGCCACGGUCCAGACUCCUACGGGAGGCAGCAGUAGGGAAUCUUCCGCAAUGGGCGAAAGCCUGACGGAGCAACGCCGCGUGAGUGAUGAAGGUCUUCGGAUCGUAAAACUCUGUUAUUAGGGAAGAACAAAUGUGUAAGUAACUAUGCACGUCUUGACGGUACCUAAUCAGAAAGCCACGGCUAACUACGUG